rnacentral:rRNA from 1 species
GCGCUGGCGGCAUGCCUUCACAUGCAAGUCCUACGGCAACAACGGGGCAACCUGGCGGCUUCCGGCGAACGGGUGAGUAAUAUAUCGGAACGUACCCUGGAGUGGGGGAUAACGUAGCUAACGUUACGCUAAUACCGCAUACGAUCUAAGGAUGAAAGUGGGGGAUCGCAAGACCUCAUGCUCCUGGAGCGGCCGAUAUCUGAUUAGCUAGUUGGUAGGGUAAAAGCCUACCAAGGCAUCGAUCAGUAGCUGGUCUGAGAGGACGACCAGCCACACUGGAACUGAGACACGGUCCAGACUCCUACGGGAGGCAGCAGUGGGGAAUUUUGGACAAUGGGCGCAAGCCUGAUCCAGCAAUGCCGCGUGAGUGAAGAAGGCCUUCGGGUUGUAAAGCUCUUUUGUCAGGGAAGAAACGGGUCUUUCUAAUACAGAGGCCUAAUGACGGUACCUGAAGAAUAAGCACCGGCUAACUACGUGCCAGCAGCCGCGGUAAUACGUAGGGUGCUAGCGUUAAUCGGAAUUACUGGGCGUAAAGCGUGCGCAAGCGGUUUUGUAAGUCUGUUGUGAAAUCCCCGGGCUCAACCUGGGAAUGGCAAUGGAGACUGCAAGGCUAGAGUUUGGCAAAAGGGGGUAGAAUUCCACGUGUAGCCAUGAAUGGCGUAGAUAUGUGGAGGAACACCGAUGGCGAAGGCAGCCCCCUGGGUCCAAACUGA